UACGUAGGGGGCAAGCGUUGUCCGGACUCAUUGGGCGUAAAGAGCGUGUAGGCGGCCAGGUAGGUCGGUUGUGAAAGCUGGAGGCUCAACCUUCAGAGGUCGACCGAAACCAUCUGGCUAGAGUCCGGGAGAGGAGAGUGGAAUUCCUGGUGUAGCGGUGAAAUGCGCAGAUAUCAGGAAGAACACCCGUGGCGAAAGCGGCUCUCUGGAACGGUACUGACGCUGAGACGCGAAAGCGUGGGGAGCGAACAGG
rnacentral:rRNA from 1 species